rnacentral:rRNA from 1 species
CAGCCGCCACGGUAAUACGAAGGGGGCUAGCGUUGUUCGGAUUUACUGGGCGUAAAGCGCACGUAGGCGGACUUUUAAGUCAGGGGUGAAAUCCCGGGGCUCAACCCCGGAACUGCCUUUGAUACUGGGAGUCUUGAGUUCGAGAGAGGUGAGUGGAAUUGCGAGUGUAGAGGUGAAAUUCGUAGAUAUUCGCAGGAACACCAGUGGCGAAGGCGGCUCACUGGCUCGAUACUGACGCUGAGGUGCGAAAGCGUGGGGAGCAAACAGGAUUAGAUACCCCUGUAGUCCCUGUCUCUUAUAC